rnacentral:tRNA from 1 species
AUAGCUCAGCUGGCAGAGCGGUGGACUGUAGGUGCUAAAAAGGUAGUAAUCCAUAGGGCGCUGGUUCACCUCCGGCU